rnacentral:lncRNA from 1 species
CACAACUUCCGGUGCAAAAACGAAAACACAGCCACCAGCUGACUGGAAGUAAGCAAGAGCAGAAAGUGUAGAAAUACUGUGGAGGAUUUCUGCUUUAAAGUGUUCGUCUGUGUUUAAAUGCUCAUAUAUCAGCUGAGAGAGCAAGCAGAGGAAUGUUAGCAGGACAGGGAGGAAACUGCUGUCUGGAAAUAAUCAGAGAGGAGUCUAAACAAAGAGUGAGGAAUGGGCAGCGAGUACCAACCACUGUCUUGUGCAGAGUCAUGCAGAAGUUUGUUUAUAGAGACAACAGAGUGCUUUAUAUGCAAGGAUGGUGAAGUCAAAGCCAGUGACCCACUGAAGAACUUCUGUGACUGCAAGAAUUUGCUUGCCCAUCACAUGUGUCUAUCCACAUGGAUCCAAAGGGGAUGUGGGAGUGAAGACAGACUGCGAUGCAUCAUUUGCAAGGCCAAGCUAUGAGGGGACAUUUCUUACACUUCUGCAGCAUCUCUCCGACUGACUGUUGCACUUGUCUUCGCCCCAUUGUACCGAUGGCAUCAUCAUCAAAUAUUAAUGGCUAGCAGUAAGUGUCUGAGAGACGUCCCACUGAGAGACCAAACAGCCACGGAACAGGGGUUAGUGGCAGGACCGGUAGAUGCUGCGAGUGGCAGCUGCACCAUUUAGAGAGCG